rnacentral:lncRNA from 1 species
GCCCCAUGGAUACUACUCUCAGCCAUUGUGAAGUGUUCUCUAGCCCAUCGGCAGGGUUGGGGGUGUCCCCAUACAGCCAGGGAAGAUUCAUUCAUUCAUCAAAGAGGCAUGCAACUCCAUACUACAGGCAAGAUGGCCACCUAGGAUCCCCACAUAAAUACCCCACCUUCAGAGGAGAGGCCUUGACCGCAUGCCUCACCAGUCACUCAUAGCAGAGGCAGUGCACUUGCCACUACAGCAAGAAAGCAAGCCAUUUCAGGCCACAGAGGAGAGACACAUGGGGACGGGUUCCACAGAUGUCCCACCCUCAGGCAGCACAGUUCCGUCUCAUACCUACCCACAUCUGGGCCAAUGUGCCUCCCAAACUCAUCUUUGCCCCUGUUCUGUCCCUGUUGAGCCAUCGAGUGUUGUGUGGCUUUUCCUGGGUUACCUUUUUCCAUUUACUAUCAGUGGGGCAACAGCAGCCCAAGGAAGUGUUUCUACUCAAAUCCAAGCUGCAAGAGCCAAGGAUUUAAUUAGAGAAGCGUGCCCAAGCGUGGGCAGCUUCCUGGCAGCUAGUCACCAGAGAAGAGACUCCCCAGCAACUGUUAACUGACUAUGUCCUCAGGGAGAGAAGGGGUCUCCAGAGCCUCAGGAACUCAUGGGCUUCCUGUGCCCUUGAGCUCAGAGAGCCUCAUAAACCCUGUUUCCUCCUAUGAAGAAGUGUUCAUGGGCCCACUCCUGGAAGGAAGGGCCCAGUGCUCACAGAUGCUCACAGAUGCUCUGACCUGAACACGGCAACAGCUGCAUCAUGACAGAGGACAGAGUGCCACCACAUGCCAGAGUAACCCCGUGUCUGGAGAAGAAUGCAGACAUGAGAGUUUCUCUGUGUAGCGCUUGCUGUCCUGGAACAUGACCUGUAUCCGCCAGCGGCCACAGGUUCCUGGGUUCCUGAAAGGAAAGCUGGAGGUGGAUGGGAAGGACGGCGAGAGAAACAACGAGCCAAGACCAAGUUCUCUGAUCAAGGCUCAAUGUUUAAUGUACAGCUCUCAAUAAAUGUGUGAAAACCC